CUACUAACUACUUGCUCGCGCCAGUUUUAGAGGAAACUGCUGUGGAAAACUCGGCCGGAAGUGUCAAGUGAAUCCAUAACAUCACCACAAACGGCUUUUCAAGCCAGGCAACCUCAGGGUGAAGAGAUCCAGAAGGCAGCAGCCACACUGCAGGAAAAAUGCCCCCAUGUGACCAUCAAUGAGGAUGCAUUGUUUGACGAGGUUACUGGCCUGCAAGAGUUCCUAAAGGGGGGGAUCGCUUGAAGAAUGGAAAACAUUGGAGACACCGCUUAGUCAGAGAUGGAGUUACCCACUUCAAAGAGAACCACAUCCCACACACUAACCUGGCUAGAUUAGCGUCUGUUGUCAUGUGCUUACCUGGAAGUAAUACACCAGUCGAGAGAUUGUUCUCCCAAAUGAAUGAUAUAUGGACAGCAGCAAGAAAUAGGUUCACUGUUCCUGCCAUCAAGGCCAUGCUUAUUGUGAAGACAAACUCCAACCUCCCCUGCCAGGAGUUCAUGGAGAAGCUGGCCAAAAACAGAGCAAUCCUGAAGAAGAUACAUUCUUCUGAGAAAUAUACAGAUUAGGUUGGAAUAAGUGCUCCCGAGGCCGUGCAGCUCCCGAGGCCACGCAGCUCCCGAGGCCGUGCAGUUCCCGAGGCCACUCAGCUCCCAAGGCCACUCAGCUCCCGAGGCCACUCAGCUCCCAAGGCCGUGCAGCUCCCAAGGCCACUCAGCUCCCGAGGCCGUGCAGCUCCCAAGGCCACUCAGCUCCCGAGGCCGUGCAGCUCAUAGAUGUCAUCUAGGUCCUCUUCCAGGAGGUCACCUGUGAAGUUAUUUUCUAGGAGGGAGGUGUCUUGGCCCAUAGCUUUGCUGUAUACCAGUUUGACAGAGGAUCUCAUCUGCUGAUGGUUUUGUUUUGUUUUUCUCCAACCCGGAGAACCAGGGAAUGUUUUGUCUGCCUCCUACCCUUCAACCUGUCUGGCUUGAUUUCACCUGCCGGUGGAAUAACCAUCUAAGGGUUAUUGGAGUACGCCCUCUAAGGGUUAGAGCUCAGGGUUAUUGGAGUACACCCUCUAAGGGUCAUUGGAGUACGCCUUCUAAGGGUCAUUGGAGUACACCGUCUAAGGGUUAGAGCUCAGGGUCAUUGGAGUACACCCUCUAAGGGUCAUUGGAGUACGCCCUCUAAGGGUCAUUGGAGUACGCCCUCUAAGGGUCAUUGGAGUACACCCUCUAAGGGUCAUUGGAGUACACCCUCUAAGGGUCAUUGGAGUACACCCUCUAAGGGUUAGAGCUCAGGGUCAUUGGAGUACGCAAGCCUCUCCACUACGUCAACGUGCCAGUCCACGAUGGUUAGCAUGUCUGUUAGAACAGCCAAAUAGAACUCCUUAUUCCAGAUAAGUAGUAACAGCUGAAUAGAACUCCUUAUUCCAGAUAAGUAUUAACAUAGCUGAAUAGAACUCCUUAUUCCAGAUAAGUAUUAACAUAUCUGGAAUAAGGAGUUCUAUUCAGCUAUGUUAAUACUUAUCUGGAAUAAGGAGUUCUAUUCAGCUAAGUAUUAACAUAGCUGAAUAGAACUCCUUAUUCCAGAUAAGUACUAACAUAGCUGAAUAGAACUCCUUAUUCCAGAUAAGUAUUAACAUAGCUGAAUAGAACUCCUUAUUCCAGAUAAGUAUUAACAAAGCUGAAUAGAACUCCUUAUUCCAGAUUAGUAUUAACAGCUGAAUAGAACAAACAAAUCGUUUUCCUCCUUUGGACAUUUGCUUAGAACAGAUUGCAGCCCUCGACAGGAAGCUGUUCCCUUGUUCCACUUCCUCCCCCAGAGUUGUGCCGGCUCCUUCCUGAUUCCGUCCUCCCCUUAAUCUUAAUUUACAUUUAAAAACAGAUUUAAUAUUGUAGUUCUGUGAAUAACAAACAUCUAAAUGGGAAGCCGUGUAAAGGACUGAAGCUGGAAAUUCUCUUUGAACAGUUUAAUAAAGAAAAACUUACCUCGCAUUUCAAACGAUGUGCCUUUGCAUGACGGAAAGCAGUGGCUUCAUGUCUAGAAUAGUGGUGAGCUCUGGACAAUGAAGGGCAACUUUGGUCAGGUGUGGCCAGAAUGUGCAGAUCACAUCCGUACACAUGAAUUGUGUGUUCCUGCUGCCAGACAAUUCCUUCUGCAAGAACAGUGUUGUACGCAAAUAUCUCUCCAGCAUCAUGUUGAGGGGUGGGUAUAAUUUGAGGAACGUAAAUAUCCCUCCAGCAUCAUGUUGAGGGGUGGGUAUAAUUUGAGGAACGUAAAUAUCUCUCCAGCAUCAUGUUGAGGGGUGGGUAUAAUUUGAGGAAUGUAAAUAUCUCUAUUUCUUCCUUCACCACGUUUAUUCGGACAAAUGUCUCUCUGUUCGUUGGUUUAGUAAUUAUUUCCGGUGAACUCUGUUGCGCCUCAAUUAGGGAAUCGCUGUGGUUGAAAUGACUAAUGACCGCAAGCCCCAGUAUUUUAUUAGCUCGGUGGCUUGUACACAAUUGUUACCGAUGAUACUGUAAUGAAACAGGCAGGGUCUUGAACCCUCAACGGCGCGCUAUCGACUGUGCCGCAAAAGCUUGCUAGUGCGACAGGGUCCUAUUCUGCGCUUAUAAACACAGGGUCCUUACACUACUCCCUCCUUUCAAAUAGCGCGUCCUCGCGCUAGCUUGCGGGUCCACAUCUUACAGGAACGCGCUCACCGGCCAAGCCCACGCACUAUCGUCGAUGCAAGGUCCGAUGACUUCCGACACCAAUGUAAUGAAACAGGCAGGGAGCAGGUCUCGAACCCUCGACCUUCUAGCCCGAGGUCCGGUGCGCUAUCAACUGCUCCUGCGGCAGGGUCGAUUUUCCGUGCUUAUAUACUUUGACCUAUUUCAGGUAACCCCAAGAUGCUUGAUUCACUACAGCUGCUCUUGAAUAACUUUCCAGUCGUUUUGUUUUACAUUCCGACUUUUGAACGUCUGUUUAUAUAUAUAUUAGAGUCUAAUAAAAAAUAGCAACUUA